CCGUCUUUUUUCUAUGAGGGGUCUGUUAUCAGCUGACCGGUGUCCCUAAAAGGAUACUGUGAAGUCCUGAGCCCCGCAACCUGGGAAUGGGACUCUGAUUGGACACGAGUUUCUUGCAGAUGUGAUUAUACUCAAGAGGAAGCCAUUAGGGUGAGCCCUGAUUUGAUGACAAGCAUCCUCAUAAGAAGAGGAAAACACGGACACAGAGACACAAGCAGAUGGUUCCAGGACAGAUGCAGAGGCCAGAGGGACGUGGUCACAGCCACGGAUAGCAGGAGCCCCCAGAAGCUGGGAGAGGCAGGAAGGGUCCUCCCCUGGAGCCUCGAGAGGAAGCGUGGCCCUGCCCACACCGUGACCUCCGACUCCGGACCCCCAGGACUGGGAGAGGUUCUGCGAGUGCUGCGUGGGCCCCGUCUGCGGCCUCUCUGGUGGAGCCCCAGGAAACACAGGCUUGCGUAGGGUCAUAUUCCGUCUGCUGUCACAUCUCCCUGCCCCCAGCCUGUGACGCAGUCAUGGCCUUGACACUUUGGAGGGUUCCAGGGCUGUCUCUCCACAGCCUGGCGCUCCGUCUGGGUCUGAAGGUGGUUCUGUGUCAUAAAGUCCAGGCUGUGCUGGGUGACUGCGGGGCAGGACGGGUAUGUGGGGAGCUCUCCCAAAACUGCCAAUGCCCGCUCCUCCCCCAUCUCCCGUUCACACCCCGGCCUGGCUGCAUCCGGGAGACUUCGAAGUGCACUGGAUGGAGGGUGCUGGAUCCUCGCACUGCGCCCCGCCCUCCCACGCACUGCUGGGCCUGCAGGCUCCCACUGUCCUCCUGGCAGCCCCGAGAGUGCUCUGGAGACCGAGGGUCGGCACUAGGGCUGCUCCUGCUGCUGGGCGCCGUGGUGCCCAGAUCCUCUCUGUGCACACAGAUGCCCCUGUAUUUAUGCCUCUCUCUCUCUGAAAUCCCUGAGAUUGCAAAGACACCUCUAAUUCUACGCCACUUUUCUUCUGCAGUGGCCCUGUCCCUUUACCAAUGGGGACCCUGCUACAUCACGCACGAUCCUGGAUCUGCCUCCCUGGCUCUGCCCUGUGGGGGCCGCACCGCACAGGGGGAGAAGGCGGCUGUGGUGGGCUCCCGCAGGUCCCGGGACCCAGGCUUUGGGGUCUGAAGCUGAACAAAGCCUUGAAGGUGAGGGACGAACCAGCGCGGCCCUCCACACGCCAGAACACGACCCAGCCAUGAAAGGAGCAAGGCUCUACCCAGGCCACAGCGCGGACACGCCCUGAGGACGUUGCACCCUGUGAGAGACACCAGACACAAAAGACCUGGGAGGGCCCUGGAGGAGGCUGACUCACGGAGACCAGAAGGGCCGAGGCGACACCUGCCUUUUUAGGAAACAGACACCUGAGGCAUGCACUGGCUUGCGUCACCAGGUAGGGACAGACCCAUGCGGGUUUGGUGCUGCUCCUGUCAUCCCGAGCACCACUCUGUCCUGAGAUACUGAGGCGGUUGGCCUGAUUGCCACCUCCACAGCUCCAGGUGGCCUCUGACGAGCUCCCGGCCUGGGGUUGGAGAUAGGAUCAACCGCAGGGCUGUUUCUUCUGCAAGAGCCCGCAGGCAGCGCUGACUGGGCCCGCAGUCAAGGGACGCAUGUGGUCCCUGGCUCGGCCACAUGGGGCCAGUCAGGCUCUGAGGGACAAGAGCAUGCAGCCCACAGUCCUGUGGUAGUGGGUUUUCGUGGCUUAUCUCGUGUCCCCUCUGCAAGGCCUCAUGGACGGGUGCCAGCGCCCACCGCCUGUGCAGAUGAGGACACGAAGGCAGAGUGCAGGGCAGCAAUGCCCACGACCACAUAGAAGGCCCAGGGUUCUCUACAUGGCUCAGCCCAAAGCACAUGGGCCCAAAGGGUGGCCCACGCGGCCACAGAGCAAUGGCCAGCAGCUCUCCCUCCUUCCAGCCUGCCCCCUACUGGGGCCAGGUCAUGUCACCAGCCUCCUCCCCAUCCCCUUCUCCCUCGCCCAGAAUGGCCUCUCCCCACCCACAGUCCCCACCGGUUCUCCACAGGGCACAGCUGCCUCCCGCAGCCCCAAAGGCCCAUGUGUCCCCACCACACCCGACCACUCCUGGGCCAGCACUGGCCAUCCCAGGACGAGGAGAGGCCUAAGCAUCUGUCCCCAGUGAAGACAGCCUCUGGGGGACAAUUUCCCGAGCCUGGAGCCAGAGGGUCUAUAGAGACCUGAGCCCCAGGAAAGGUGUGGGUGUGGGGCCCCCCGGGACUGAUUUGCAGAUGAACAGGGAAUCUACGCAGAUCCUGAGCCCCACGAGAGCUGUGGGUGUGGGGCCCCCCGGGACUGAUCUGCAGAUGAACAGGGAAUCUAUGCAGAUCCUGAGCCCCAGGAGAGCUGUGGGUGUGGGGCCCCCCGGGACCGAUUCACAGAUGAAGGGGGAUCUACACAGAUCCUCCAGCACUUACAGAAAGGAAACCGCGGAGCAGAGACCACUUGCAAAGGCAGUACUGUGGCAUGAAAACCCCACCCUGGGGGCAGGGGCUCCUGGGGGAGUCUCCGUCGGAAGUGCAGUGCUCAGUCCAGGCUGUGCAGAGGUGGUGCGUGCAGCCACAGAGGACGUCAGCUGUGGCCAUGGUUGGGGAGGACAGCUGGAAACAUCGGCUUCACAGGCAGCAUUGCCCAGACAGUAGCUUGUACCCCUUGGCACACCAAAAACCAGGCAGGACCCGAACACUGAGCUUCAGAGCAGGGGUGAGGGAGCCCCUGCUCAGACUCCAAGAGUCCCAGAGCCAAGCGGCGAGGAACUUGUUCAAGUCCAGCAAAUCUGAGACCAGAGGGAGGCCAGCCCUCCGCCCUCCUUGGGGUAGAUCAGCCACCACCGUCGGCUCCAUGCAGGUCGCCCAGCACUGGCGGCUUCACAAGCCCCAUGCAGCCAGCAGGCGACUCACCACGUAGACGCGGCUGCCGCAGGGCAGAGACGAUCCGGACUGCCAGGGGCGUAGGGUCCUGACCCCAGGACCUGUGCCUAGGCCACCUUGCAGGGCAGCAGGGACUCUGCAGGUGUGACUGAAUGUUUCAGAGGGUGGCAGGUGUGGACGGGGCUUCCCCAGACACUUAUGCUCCCCACGGUCCUGGAGGCCCUCUCUCUGCCCAGCCUCGCAUGGGGGGCCCUGCCCUCUCUCUUUCCUCUCUGUGCCCCCACGGCCCCUGACUUCUGACAGCCCCAUCCUGUGUUGGAUGUGGUGGGGAGGGUCAUUCAUUGACCAACACACAUGAACAGAGCCCUCCCAAUGACAGGGCCACAGCCCCACCCACCCACUGGAGUGAGCUCCCUACCAGAGGAGGUAGUGGGAGAAAAUCAAGCUGGUGGAGAAGCAUUCCAGGUGGUGGCAUGUGCUGCCAGGAAACACUUUUUUUUAUGGAGACAGGGUCUCUCGCUCUGUCGCCCAGGCUGGAAUGCAGUAGUUUGAUCAUGGUUCACUGCAGCCUCCACCUCCUGGGCUCCAGCUAUCUUCCUACCUCAGCCUUCUGAGUAGCUAGGACCAGAGACAUGCACCACCAUGCCUGCUAAAGGAAGUACAUUUGUAAAAGUGGCCCCCAACAACUAGCUGCCAAAGUAAAAGCAAGAUGGACAACGGCACCAGCAGACUUCAAAUCCCAGCACAGGACAGUCUCCCCAAGACCUGGCACCUCGCAGAGGGACCCAUGGGCACAGGAGCGCGGGCACAAGCGGAACGGCUCCAGGACUGUAUUCCAUGCCAGCACUGCCCCUGCUCCAGAUCUGACUUUGCAGGUGGGGCCCAGCCCUUCCCGUGUCCUGGUGGGAGCCUUUGUGGCUUCUGUACUUUCAGCACCCUUGGCUAGGCCUUCUCCAACAAUGGAAAAACUUUGUAAUGCAAAUCUUACUCGUUAAAGAACUUAGCUGCCAGGUACAGCAGGAGGAUACCAGGAGUUUGAGAUCAGCCAACAUGGCGAGACCCCGUUUCUACAAAAAAUACAAACAGAGGCACUGUGGGGGGCUGAGGUGGACAGAUCACCUGAGCUCAGGAGUUCGACACCAGCCUGGCCAACAUGGUGAAACCUCGUCUCUACUAAAAAAUAAAAAUUAGCUGGGCAUGGUGGCA